CAGUAGCCGCGGUAAUACGGAGGGCGCGAGCGUUACCCGGAUUUACUGGGCGUAAAGGGCGUGUAGGCGGCCUGGGGCGUCCCAUGUGAAAGGCCACGGCUCAACCGUGGAGGAGCGUGGGAUACGCUCAGGCUAGAGGGUGGGAGAGGGUGGUGGAAUUCCCGGAGUAGCGGUGAAAUGCGCAGAUACCGGGAGGAACGCCGAUGGCGAAGGCAGCCACCUGGUCCACCUCUGACGCUGAGGCGCGAAAGCGUGGGGAGCAAACCGGAUUAGAUACCCGCGUAGUCCCUGUCUCUUAUAC
rnacentral:rRNA from 1 species